rnacentral:lncRNA from 1 species
GUUAAGAUUUGGUUUAGGAUUUAGGGUUUGGAUUAGGAUUUGGAUAGGGUUUGAUUUAGGGUUUAGGAUUUAAUUAGGAUGUGAUUUAGAAUUUAGGAUUUGAUUUAGGAUUUAGGAUUUGGAUUAGGAUUUGAUUUAGGAUUUAGAUUAAGGUUUGAUUUAGGGUUUAGGAUUUGGAUUAGGGUUUGGUUAGAGUUUGAUUUAGGGUUUAGGGUUUGAUUUAGGAUUUGGUUAGGAUUUGGUUUAGGAUUUGGUUGGGAUUUGGAUUGGGAUUUGGAUUAGGAUUUGUUUAGGGUUUGAUUUAGGGCUUAGGAUUUUAUUAGGAUUUAAGAUUCAAUUAGUUUUGGCCUAAAGUUUGAAUGAAGUUCAAUAGGAUUUUAACUAGAAUUAAAUUAAGGUUGAAUUGAGAUGUAUUUGAGUGAUAUUUUUGAUCCUUCUAAUAUUUCUUUAAGAAUUCUUAUUAUUUGUUUGAAAUUACUUUGAGAUUUUUUUGAAUUUGAUUAAGCUUACUUAGCAUUAUUAUGGUCUAAUUAUAGUAUUAUUAGUAUUCUAUUAGAAUUAGGAUUUUUUUAUUGCAAUUUCCAUUCUUCCUUCCUUAGCCAAGUGCUUGAAGCAUUCUCAAGCAAGACUUCACGUAUUACGACAACAUUCUAGUAGUGAUUUUUUUUUUUUUGAUAGUUAGCUUCAACUCAAAAUUGGUGUAUAGCUUGAUAUAAUAACACAAAUCCUUAAUAGAUAAUGAUUUCAAUUGAGGUAAUAAAAUUUUAAAGAUUGAUCUAACUUAAUUACAUAUUUUAUACCAAGAAACAUAUAUGGUUAAUUGUUGAUACAUAUUACUCUACUAAUACUAAUUAUGCAAUAUAAAAUAUAUCCUACAUAUUCUAAAAUAUCCAAAUUCUUCAUGUAUUUGGCAUAUUAAGAAGGCCUUUUGAUCUCAUGUUAGAACUAUGUAUCUAGCUCUAUUAAGUGACAAACAAAAUAACAAAUUUUUCUUUCAAAAAAAUCUUGUUAUUUGAUAACCACGUUUUUUUUUAUCUCUUUUCAUGUUGGUGAUAGCUAUAGAAAACGUUCUUUAUUAAAGCUUAUAUAAGACUGCAAGAUCUUCUCAUACAUUGUUAAUUAUUUGAUUUUUAUCCAAUUUCUUAUUUGAAUUAUGGUCAAGAACCAAGGUUGUAGAAUUUGACAUUAAAGUCAAAUGUGUGGUUGUAUGCUAUCCAAAAACUACUUUUCAAUCAUAAUUUCCAUACCACCAAGCUUCAAAUAAGUCUUCUUUUGAAGGACAUGGAUUAUGAGAAUGUCCAUGAACAUCCAAAUUAGUAAUGCCUAUCUGAUGAUCAAGCUCAAAGUUGUAUUUUUUGAAGCAAUAAAGCCUAUCUUACAAGCUUAUCAAUAAGCUUGUCUAGCUCUAUAAGCCAAUUCAAAGAUUAAUAGUCAGUUAUCAAUAUAAAAGGUUGAAUAUAAAAGUAAGCUCAAUGGCUCAAACUGUUGCCAAAGCUUCUCAUUUAUAAGAUGAGUAAUUUUACUUUGCAUUGUUAUUACUUCUAGAAGCAAAUGUAAUAACAUAUUUUCAGCCUACAUCAUCUUUCUGUAUUAAGACUACUCCCAAUCCUAUUAUAUUCUAAUCUGUGUGUAGUUGAAAAAGUCUAUUAGUAUCCAAUUAUUGAAGCAAUGGAAUUAAAUCCAACUUUUGCUUGAAUGUGUUGAAUGAAUGUCAUUGCUCAUAUUUCUAAGUCCAUGGUUGAUCUUUAUCCAUGAAAAUAAUUAAAGUCUUAUUAAUGAUGCUAAAUUUUUUAAAAAACCUUUAAUAAUAAUUUACAAAUCUUAAAAAAGCCAAAAGACAUGAAACAUUACUUAGUAACAAGAUUUUUUACUAGGCAUCUAUCUUUGCUUAUUGUAUGCUAAGACUUCUUGAAAUAAUCAUAAAAAUCAAAUAUGGUAAUUAUUUAUGAAAGAAUUUAUACUUUUGAUGAUACAAGUAUAAUCUCCAUUGUUAUAAUUACUCAAAUACUGCUUAUAAAUGACUCAUAUGAUCUUAUAGGGUGCUAUUAAAAAUAAUAACAUUAUUAAUGUAAUAUCUUACAAAUGGUAAUUUAGAUAAAACUUGAUCCAUUAUCCAUUGAGACUUAGCUAAUACAUUUUUAAGACCAAAUAGAAAAAACUUUUAGUAAUAGUAUUGAUCUUUGUUAUUUUGAUUAAUUCUCUAAAAUAUUGUCUUCAUUCAAACUUUAAUAAGUAAUAAUUAUUAAAAAUAUCCAAAUUUUAAAUUCAAAGUAUUAAAUAUCUGGAAGAAUCCUAAUGCAUCAAAUAAUUCUUUUGGCAUUUGUAUUAGAUAUUGAUUAGACUUAGUCUUAUAAUUAACUAAACGAUAGUUUCCACAUAUCUCCUUCUUUGUUCAAUUGCCAAAAACAUCCUUCUUCAAAGAUAUGACUAAAGCAUAAGCAUACUCACAAUUAAAAAGUUCAAUCAAACCAAUAGUCAAUAGUUCUUGGCAACAAGCUUAGAUACCAGCUUUCUUUGAGGUACUAAGCUUGUAAGGUAAUAAAAAGAUUGGAUGAUCAUCUUUUAAUUGGAUGUGAAUAGGUUUGCCUUUAUAAUCUUUGAGAUCUUUAAAAUUAAAGUAAAAAAAAUUAAAAUACGAGCACAUAAAAGCUCAUAUCUUUUCUGCUUUGACAUCAAUAAGAUGUGGCUUUAAUUCUAAUGGCCAAUUAUCAAACUUUACACUGUCGUAUUGUGUGAAUUGCUAUUUGAGAAUACACUGGAUAUCUAGCUUUAAAGAGUUUAGCUUAAACUUUUAUAUGUAUCUUGUCUUAGCUUCCAAAACUCCUUUUUUUUGCAUAAAAUUCAAAAUAUAGCAAAAUUCCUUCAAAACAUAUUUUUCUUGCAAAGGAUUUUUUCUUCUUGAACUUUAUAAAUUCAUAAUUCUUGAUUUAACUAUUCAAUUUGUCUCAAAUUUAUAGAGUAGGUAAAAUUCACCCUUAAAUUUUACGACAAAAAAAUCCAACUGCAAAUUCACUCCUGAUCUUCUGAUAUCUAAGUAAUCCUAGCAGAUGCUCUAAACCCUAAUGUUCAAGCACCUAAGUACUAUUUUCUUAAUAUUUCAAGAAUCCAAUAUUCAAAUGCCAUCAAAAUUAUGUACAAAGUUUACUAACAUGAAUAUAUACAUCUUUGAAAUUUUGAGCAAAAACCUUGUCAAAUUGCUCAAGAUAUAGCUCAAGACACAACCACUAGUAAAUCAGGUCACGUGCUACCCUUAGAUUGCAUAUGCUGACUUCAAAAUCCAAUAUCUCCUUCACCCCAACUUGGAAUCCAGCAAUCAAUAUACAAAAAGUGUAGCUAUAAAAGUACUUUUUUCAGUCGCAGUUGCCAAUCCUCAAUUGCCCUUCGUGCGCAUGCGUUAUGUCAAAAAGAGUGACAGUAGCUCCCAAAUCAAUAUCUUUGAGUGCCUAUAUCUCUUUCAUAUAAACUCCAAAUCAUACAAGAUUUGCACCAAAACCAUAGCCAAAAACAUGAGCUCUCUAAUCUUAAUCUUCAAAGUUUGAAUUCUUCCAAAAAUUAACCCUAAUCUCUAAUAUGGCCUCAGGCAGCUUCCUUGAAGUCCUUUGAUCAUGAUUUUUGACCAAUAAGAAUGGAGAUUUUUAUCAUCCAUCUCCAUUCAUCUAUAUGGAUGUCCUAAAUUCUCUUUUUGCUACCAAAAUUUCUCUCUAAUUCUUUUUCUUAUAAGAUUUACAUAAUUUAUGCUCUAAACACUAAAUAAAAGAACCAAAAUAAGUUUUCAAAGGUCACCAAUGUCUAACAAAGAUGACUCUUAAUAUUUAGAAGUUACUAUCAACCAAAACCAAUCUUAAAAGCCAUUAUCAAAAGAAAUUAAAGUUAUAAAAAUUCUAUAGUAAUCUUUUUAAACAACCUCUUUUCAAGGUAAUAAUCAAAUUAUAUUCUACAACCAACUAAAAUCUACUAACAUGGCUCUCACCAUGUUAUUUAAUAAAUUAUAUAUUAAAUACAUAGUUAUAUUAUUUUCAUAUAGCAACUAAACCACAACAUGACAACGGUUAUUUUUAUCACCAAUGAAGCACCACUACAUGCCAAUAUAGCCUUUAAUUGCUAAAUUAUUGAAAGAACAACUCCUACAAUAUCCUCACUUCUAAUCAAAUAAGAGGCUUCAUCACCAUAAUAAUUGUGUGAAUUAGAGAUGUUGGUAGAAUAUAGAAUAUUUUUCAAAAAUAAAUCUCAUAAAAAAUCUCUUAAGCAUUUGUUUUUUCUAAAUCUUCAACUAAAAUUUCAAAGACACGUUGAGCUUGUAGCUCAUCAAUUGUAUGCCUUUGUAAGCAAAAAAAUGACUUGCAUUCCUCAACUUUAAUAAGUUCAAUAUCCAUUACCUCCAAACCAUUUUUUUGAAGAACUUAUUCCACUUUUAAAAGCCAUAUGAGAUUCGAUGACUUAGCCUAAUAAAGCCAUACUAUUGAAUCUCUUUUCUAGCUCAAUAAUUUUAUCUUCUAAAGUUUUUUUUUUAUUAUUCAAAGUAUUAUGUUUGUAUAGAUGUAAUAUGAAGCAAUUAUCUUCAUUGUAAUUAAAUUUAUUACAAUGGAUAUACUUGAAUUGCUCUUUUUUAGAUUUAUUUCCUAUUUUAACCAUCUUAGCUUUUGGCUUAGAUUUUUUAAUGUAUAAGGCUAUUUUUUUCUUAGGAUAGUUUGGAACAUUCUUUGUAUGAUCAAAUUCAUCCUACCUCUAAUAAUGCAGAGUCUUUUUAAGUUGAGUUUUUGUUAGCUACUUGUGAAAGUUACCAUCUUCUUGGACUUAGAUACAUCCAUCAUCCAAGCUAUUAUGUCAUUAGCAUCAUAUUGGCAAAGUACCUUAUUAUAUUUUUUUAACUUUAAUAAAUACUUGUGCUAAUGUGGCCUUGCUAUCAUAGUUAAAAAUGAUUCUUGGUGUGGCUAAAUCCAAGAGUCUCUUCUCAAUCUUAUACAAAAAGAUCUUUUAAUAAGUUAAUUUUUAAUAAAUAUACUUCUUGACUCUAUUAUAAAUCUAGCCAAAUUAAUAUAUAUAUAUAUAUAUAUAUAUAUAUAUAUAUAUAUAUAUAUAUAUAGUAUGUAAAAUAUCAUCUUUUUUAUAAUAGAAGUUUUUAAUGUAUUAUAUUUAAUUAUGCCUAAAACCUCCAUACUUAUGCUUCAAGUACUUAAUAAAUAUUUGAAGAGGUUCAAAUGAAGGUGGUUCUCUUAUUGUAUAUAAAGUUGCCUUCAUUGCUUAAGCCAUGUAAGACAAAGUAGUGCGAGUGCUAGUUAAGGAAGUAUCUACUCUUUUUCUUUUGAUAUCUUCUAAAGAUGUAUUAAUUUUUUCUUAGAUUGGAUCUUCUUCUUUCACCAUAGAUAUGAAGCUUGAGAUAGUAUCUUCUUUAAGAACUAAAAUAAGUUCUAUGCAUGCCUUCUAAUAAUGCUUUACUUCAUGCAACUCAAGUAAAUAUUAUUCAUUCUAUUUUCAAUAGGUUUAGAAUGCCUCAUGCUCAAAGUAUUGUAGUAAGAGUUCAAAGGCAUAUGGGAUCUUGAUGCUUUUCUUUUAUCCAUAUUUGAAACUUGAGUUUCUAAUCUAGCAAAGAAAUGCUCUCAACUCUUCUUAAGAAUCUAUCCUUUACCAUGUUGCAAGAAUUGCCUUCCAACUUGUAAAAUAUAUCCAUCCUUGGAAUUCAAAACUUUUUAAUAAUAUUUAAUACUAAAAUUGACUAAAAAGCUUCAUUAGUAUCCACCUAUGGUCCAAAGUCUUUGGUGUAGUUACUAUCUAAGUAUUCUAGUGAAAGAGAUUAAUAACAUCAAUUCUUAGUAUACACUAUAAAAAAAACUAUUUAAAUACUUGCAACUAUCUAAAGACUAAAAUGGCAACAUGUGUCUGCAAAACUAUCAAGUUUUAUAAUUUAUUAGAAAUCACUUCCAAAUCACAAUAGUUCCAACAUAUCUAUAAACAAAAAAAUCUUGUCAGCCAUCAAUCCAACCUUAUUCCUACAAUAUGCCUAUCAAUACAAAUUAAUACAAAUAUAAAAUGAAAUAAUCACAAAAAACCUCUAAGAACAAAAUCUGCAAUUAAGGAAAGGUAUCAAAAAUAAAAUCUAGACAUCCACAUUAGAUUUUUAUCUUUAAUAAUACAUAAGCAAAAAUCAAAAAUAAAUCACAGCAAUUGGCAUCCACUUAUGGUUGGUGGUCACAAAUCGCAAAACUUGUGUCACUAAAAGACAAUUGUAAUAAAAUGAAAUAUGAUAAAGUGAAAAAUAAUCAAAAAAUUACUUAAAAAGUAACUAAAAUUUAAUAAAUGCUACUUCAAUAUUCCAAAUAAUCUCCACUUCAAGUAUGCCAAUGAAUUCUUUGGAUCUCUUUUAUAUAAAAUUGACUAAAAAAUAAUCAAAUUUAGACUCUAUAUGCACUUAGAGUGUGCUUCUAAACUUGACACAUAAGAGCUAUGAAUAAUGUGUAUUUUUUUAAUAUCCUAUAAUGUAGCCAAUGAUCGUGGAUAUUACUAUUGUUCUAUGAUUGUAGAAUCUAUAAUUGUCGUUCCUAUUACCAUGGAUCUAAAACUGUGAGGUUUUGUAACUACAGAUCUUUUGAUUGUAGGAACUUAUUACCUUAAAUCUAUUAUUAUGGAGAGUCUUGUUACCAUGGUCCUCUGACUAUAAAUGAUAUUCUAAGCCAUUAGUGAAUAUUGCGUGCCACCGUUUGCCACUAUUUGCCAUCUCAAUACUUGUUUUUUUUGCAACUUUCACUAAAUCCUUGCGUUAUACCGCCUUAUAUAUAGGGCCUUGCUAAACUAUCUCAAGGUUGUUCCAAACUUUAAAAACCACCAAUAUAGUACUUUUUUACAAUUAGAACAAGUCUUGUAAAAUAAAAAAAUAAAUGAAAAAAAUAAAAAUUAUAUCAUCUUAUUCGAGAACAAGUUUUGGAAAUUGAAAAAAUCAACACUAUAUUCUUAUAGCUUUGCCUUGCUAUCUUGUUAAGAUUCUUAGAUAUUUAUAAAACACAAUCCUACCUUUCACAAUCAAAUGCCUAGUGCAUUUCCAAACAAGGUGGUACGUAAUUUUCUAAGAUGCUUUAUUUUUCUUUAUUAUUAGCCCUACAAAGUAAAUAGAAUCUUAUUUUGAAAGAAGGUAAUAUUAAUAAUUUUUAAUUUUACUUUCUUUUUUACUAUUAUCUAUAUUUUUAAAAUAAUUUUUUAUAAUAUUUUAAAGUAAGAUCUUAUAUAAUAUAAUAUUUUUUCUUUCUUUUAUUCAUUAGCUAUGUUAUAUCAUGAGAUCCAUUACUGUAAACGUGUGCAUUUUCGUGCAUGCAUCAAGUUUUCUUCAUUACAUUGAUAAAGAGUGUUUUUCAUCUUGGUCAAAUUCUUUAUUUUAAAAUUAUUCUUCUACUUCCAUCUCAAUGUCUCAUAUUGGAUUUUAUAUUUUAUCAAAACAAAUGUCUUCACAUCUUUAUUUAAAUAACUUGAUUUGCUUGCCUGCUAUAAGUAUCUUUAGUUUUGUACCAUCAAAUUCUUGUAACAAGUAUGUUCUAUUGUCAUAUACUUAUUUAACAACAUAAGACCCAAACCAUCUCUUUGUAAAUUACUUUGUUGUGCUAUCUUAAUCUUUCAAGCUACUAUUAUAAACUAACACUCAAUUGCUAUCUUCAAUUGCAUCAGAUCAUAGUUUAUGUUUUUUUAUCAAAUCUUUCUUUAUUCUUCUCCUUUACUUCUUUCAAAUUCUCUAUUUUUGCUUUAAUAUCAAUUGGUCUUCUUUUUAAUUGUUGAAUUUGUAAUGCUAAAAGUUCUUUUCUAUUGAGAUCAUCCUUUCAAGAUAAUACAUCCCAUGUUUGUACUACAUCUUUUAUUGAUAUUAUUAAUUUUCGUCCAUACAUUAAUUCAAAAGGCAUAUAAUUUAUUAAUGAACUAUGAGUUGUGCAAUCAACCUAUAAUAUAAAUGAUAGUAGUCUAAGCUAUUAAUAUACUUUUCUAUUGCAUACUUUUAUUAAUACGUUAACAAUAGGUGAAUAUCCAUGCUAAUUCUUAUUAUUAUCUUCUGGAUUAUAUGUUUUUAAAAAAAAUCUAAUUCCUAUUCUACUAAAAUAAUUUUGUGCUUUUCUCGCAUCCAAUUCAUCUCUAUCAAUUAUAUUUUUUUCAAUACAAUUAUAGUGACAAAUAACAUCUUCUAAUAAAAAUCGGCAUAUACCUUCAAUACCUUUUAUUUUUAAUGCUUGUCCUUCAAUCAUAUUUGAAAAAUCUUCUUGUACAAGUAUCAAAUACUUCAUUUGUCUAAGUUUCAAAGGCAUUGCUAUUACAUCCACUAUCCACUAAUAAUAUAAAGCUAGAAGAUAUAUUGGAUGUUAUCCAUUUCAAUGCCAAAUGAUUGAAUACACUUAAUAAGUUUCAUAAUAUCCUACACAAUUUGCUAUGUCUUUGUAGAUGCUCCUCUAUCAUUUUUUUUUUUUUUUUUUUUUUUUUUUUUUCUAAAAAAUUUAAUAACUAUUAUCAAAUAUCCUAAUACCUUAUUUAUAAAUUUUUAUAAAAUUCUUUAAUAAUCUUUUGUUGUACUUCAAAAUCAUAUAUAAUUGAUUAUCAUACUUCUUGUCUUUUCUUUGGAUGCUUCCAUAAAUAUCCAUCAUAUAAAAAAUAUCCAUAGAUUUUUUUUAUAAAUUUUCUUAAAUUAUUGAUUUGUCUAAUCCACUUGUUGCUUUAAUGUGCUUCAUUACUCUCUAUCAUCUUUCCAUUCUCUUUCAUAUAAAUUUCUUAAAUUUUUUUUCAAUGGUGUAGAAUAGAUAUUAUUUCAUUUUUAUAAGAUAUUGGUAAAAUAAACUAAUAGUCCAUAGAAUAGUGAGUUCAGGAGGACAGAUGGUUAAAUCACUUAUUAAAAGCAGUUAUUAUAGGAUUACGGUUAGAAUCUGGAAAUCAGUAGCAAUUAUAUAGGAGUUUUAGAAGUUAGUUUGAGGGGCCAGACUGUGAUAGUCAUAAGUCGGGGUUAAGCUUGGUGCUACUUCUUUGUUUUCUUUGUUUUCUUUGUUGUUGAAGAGUAAUGGAUAGUUUUUGAAUACUGAGAAGUGAGUCUGUGGAAUAAAUCAGAGAUUGAUUUAUGAGUUAUUGAUUAUAUAAUUGGAGUAUUAUGUGAUUGAAUUAUAUAAGAAGUUAUUGGAAGAUUGAUUAUGAUUGGAAGUUUAUGAUUGUUGUUUAUUGAGAGUUGUGUGUGUAUUUUGGACAGAGGAAGUCUGUGAUUACAAAAAUUGUGUGGAUCUAGAUUGAUUGGAGUGAAGUUUGUUUUCCUGGUGUUGGAUGAGAAUUAUUGUGCUUUGAACAGUCUUUUGAGAGUACAGGAUUACACAUUGUGGUUUUCAGUUGAUGAAGGAGUAUUGUUCCUAGAAGGAAGUAUUGUAGUGUUUCUUGGUAUUUUAGUGGUUCGGAUUAUAGUUAAUUGAGUGAUCCUAAUAUGUAAGCUCAUGCACUUAGUUUUUCCUUGAGUUUGAAUUCUCCUAUACAAGUUUAUUCUGGAAGGAAUUGCAGAAUAAGUAAAACAACAAUCACAUUUUUGGCGCCACUAUCGAGGAUUGACAAUAGCAUUGAGUGUUAAGAAUUAACUGCCAAAUGAGUAGAUGGAAAAUAGGAAGCAAAUUCAGUAGUAUAUAAUGAAAGAUUAUGGUUAUUAAGAAUGAGAACAUUGCAAUAAAGAAAAGACACUAGUCGAAAGAAAGACAAGAAAGAGCGCAAGCAAGAGAAUUGUUGUAAAAUGAGCAAGUACUCAAGUUAAAAAAGAAGUAUCAAAAAAGUUGGAUUAAGCCAUGGUUGCAUGCCUGUCGGCAUAUCCGAGCAUAUCCAAAAGCUGAUCGUUCUCUAAUAUUUCAAAUAUAUAUAUCGUUAAGAAAAUUUUCAAGAGCACUCGCAAGAAAUUUUGUAUCUCUUGAGCUCGUUAACUGCAAGUGGAGGAAACACAAAAGAAUUGGAUACUCCAUUGGGUACCUUUUCAAUAGCGAAAACUACCAAUUCUGUAAAAACUGGUUCCGUAGAAUGGCAUAAAGUGCUUGCUAAUAAAGGCCAAUUCAGCGUAUUUCAAAAUCCAUCAUUUUCACCUCUAAUUCAACCAAUAAACUUAUUCAGGAAUAAUAAUAUUAAAUUGAUGGAGUUGGAAAGGUUAGAAAAGACAAUUGAGGAAGGUAGUGGUAAUUUUAAUAAGAGAUUAAGCAUCACAUUGUCCUCUUCAAUGGCGACGAGUGGUCCAACGGUUCCAAUAGUAGUACAAAUAGGUGAUGUGAGCGAUCGGACAAUGAGCAUGGCUCCAUUACCUACUUUUAGGAGCUUUCUGGGUACGAAUCUCGAUCAACAUUUGUCUCAGUUUCAGAUAGCAUAUAUAGCCAAUAAUGGAAGAAUCAAAGAUAUUUGGUUACGAUGGUUGUCAGCAACCUUAAAGGACACGGAGUUUGAAUGGUACAAUCGCCAACUAGUGGAUCAAUUUUCGAAAUAGGAAGCAUUGAAGAAUACAUUUUUAACCUAUUUUUGGCCAAUAGGUUUUGAGGAUCGUCUUUGAGAGAGGUUAAUGAACACCAAAUGAUCCUAGGAGAGGCGGUGGAAUCGUAUUAUAGCCGGGUGGCUGAUAUACUCAGUAAGUGGCCAAAUCACCAAAUGUCGGAGGCAUUUAUCUUAUCCAUAUUAAUCAAUGGUUUGCAACAACUAGAGUUAAAAAAUUUUAUGAAGGAAGGUCAAUCCGUUACGGUGUUUGCAUCCUUUAAUAGAGCCAAGGUUUGGAAGGAAUGCCAUUAUGAUCAGUUUUUAACUGCAGGAGCUAUGAUGAUUCUAGUUCAAGUCAAUUAUCAAAAUCCAACUUGAAACGAAUCAGUGGGUGCUUAUCCACGGAUGUUAGAUAUAAGGGCCAAUUCUAGUGCCAAUAUUCAGGGGCCAGUUAAUGUCAUCCCAUUAUAAGCUAUACCACUGAACAUCACAACAACGUAUGCUUCUUAUUUUCCGUAUCAACAAUAAGCAUUAACAGCGACAAAGUUAUCAAUAAUACCAGCUCUAAAAGACUCCAAUGAAGCCUUGUUGUUGAACCUGAUGAAGAAAAUGGAAGAAAUGGCUGUCAAUAUGGGCAAGGAUAAGGAGAAGAGGCAAAAGCCUACCAAUACUAGAACCAAUGUUUGAUGCAAUAAUUGUAAGGACCACGGUCAUUUGGUAAUAGAAUAUCCUUCAUCCUUACAAAGAAUGGGUCAAUGUAUAUUUUGCGAAGGAAAGCACUUAACAGCUAAUUGUUGGAAUUUGCAAAGGCAACAACAAUUCAAUAAUCAGACCAUGAUCCCACUAACUCAUUGGGACAUUGUCGGGGUAGAGAGAGUUUGCCUCAAGAAAAUGCUGGGCUUCUGGCUGUCACUAAUUAUUCAAUCAAGCUUCAAAAUAAGAGAAGUCCUAAGUUUAUAUAUAAUUUUUCUCUUUUGAGUAAUUAAACCAAAUACACAAUCCUCAAGUAACCCACAACUUCCAAAAUAUGAUAAAAUCUUCUAAAACCUUGUUUAUUCUUAUGUGGAGAUUUUUUCGAACUUCAACACCUCAUAUCUCCUAAUCCGACCGUCCAAACAAACUCAAAUUUUACAUGAGGUACUGAUGUAUUCUUAUUAAUUUUUACAACAAAUUUCAACCGCAAAUUCGUUGCAGAUCUUGAGAUAUCUUGAAAAUCCUAACAGUCGCUUCAAACCCUUGUCUUUAUACAUCCACAUGCAAUUUUCUUCAUAUCUCACAAAAUAUAAGCUCAAAUGCCACGAAAUUUAAAUUUAUAGCUUUUUAACACAAAAAUUUACAUUCUCGAAAAGUUUGAGCCAAAAAUUCACCAAAUACUCAAAUUAUGGCUCCAACCAUUACUACAAAUAAAACCGCUUACUUACUGCCUUUGAUUUGGAAGUGCCGCCUUCAACUCCUUACAACUCCUUCAUAUGAACUCCAAAAGCAAUAAUUCUUUCAUUAAAGAUGUAGGCCUUAAAAUUGCCGUUCCAGUCGCUCCUUUUGAUCUUCAAAAGAUGCUGUAAAACUCCUCAUACCUUCAAAAGAAUAACAAUAUGUCUUAAAUAAAUACCUUAACUUCAAACGGCUAUAACUUUUUUACCCUAACUCCAAAUCCUCUAAUUUUUACACACAAAUUGUACCUAAAUUCUAAACUUUACAAUCCUAACUUGUAAUCUCCAAAUGCCUUUGAAAGAGGAACCUUAAUCCCUAAUAAGGCCUCAGGCAGCCUCCCUGAAGCCCAUUAUAUAUGGUAUUCGACCAAUAGGGAUGAAGUUCUCCAUUCUUUGCCUUCAUCCAACCAUACUUUGCUUUUAUCCCUCCCAAUUAGCCUCCUAUUAGUUUAGAUUUUCAUCCUUAAGCUUCCACCUUUUCCCAAGGCUUCAUACUAAACAUUUAGGUCUUAUAUAUAUAUAUAUAUAUAUAUAUAUAUAUAUAUAUAUUUUUAAUAUCAAAAUCAAAACAAGUAAAGAAACAAAGUAAAGUUUCUUAUACCAACUCCUUUUAAUUUAAUCUACUAGCCAUUCUAACACACAUCUAGAUUUAUGAAUAUAUAAUAUGUUCUAACUAAUUUUUACAUACUAUAAGUAUUUACAGUAUGACAACGUCAAUCAAAUUCAAUCGGGAAAUAUAUUGUCGUAUUACGUGCUUUCCUGCUCCAGAACGCGCCGGGCAUCUGGCUGUAGAAGGUAGUAUGGAGAUUUGCCAAUAUUCAAGCAGUCUAUCAAUUUUUGACUGUUGGAAUAUAAACGACUGCAAGAAUAUACCUUAAAUCUAUACGGAUGCCCUUUGACUGCUCGCCAAAAUCCUUUUUGUCCCGGCCGGUAGGUCUCUAAACGUUACAGAGAACCCCGAACAAUCCAAACUGCUAAUCUUCGAUACCGCUUUAUACUCACGAUCUUGUAUCCACUGACUGUCUCGUUAGAUUAACCCAAUAAAUUUCAUUCACUCCGCAUAAUCAAUCUUAUAGACACCCUUUUAAUUCUUCAUCACAGACGUAAAUCGAUUUCACAAAACAGUCAAGAGUAAUCAAACCCACUUCAUUAAAAAUCCCGAUUCACCAUUACAACACUGACUUCAGCAAUGAUUGCCUCAGUCUUCCCAAACCCUAUGAAGAAAAAAAACCCAAUUCUCUGUCUUUUUUUUCCGCCGGAAGCAUGAAGCUAGCUCUCUGAUCCUUCAAAAAAACUCCCAAAAAAAACUUCACUCUUCCCUCUCAUUUCUUAACCUUAAUUCUGAAUUUCUUCAAUCCUCCGUCUUGGAUCCGGAAUUGGCUCCCACUGUGAGAGCUUGGAUCUGAAAUUGGCUCUUGCCAUCAAGGCUUAGAUCCAAAAUUGGCUCUCGCCGUCAGAGCUUUUCCCUUCGUUUUUACCUUUAAGAGAUCCAUUUACCGAAAACAACGUUCCCUGAAACGGCACAGAGAAUAGGACAGCCUGAAACAGAAUCGAAACCCCGUAAUCGAGACCACAUUGAGUCACUCGACCAAUUCAGUCUCAUAUUGGCUAAGAGUCCAAUAGUAAGACCCGAAUGUCCCCGUAAUUGGAUCAAAUUGGUCCUUCACGUCAGAUUGGCUGAGGCCCGUAGUAAGACCUGGAUUUUCCCAUAAUUGGACUGCAUUGGGUUGCCCGGCCAAUUCAGGUUUCAUAUUGGGUAAGAGGACCCGGAUUGGAUUUUUGAAAUUGGAUAUAAUUGGCUCUUCAAACCAAGCUCACCCGUUGUGUGAAUUAGUCCUUUCUCUUCUUGCUGACGCCCGUUAUUGGAAUCAAACAAAGCAUUUUAGUAUGCCCCGGUUGACUGUAACGAGGUGACUGAACCUGGCCACUCAGUAUUUAUAUUGGAGUUGGUCGUUGCUCCCAAUAUUCGAGGUAACUGAACAUUAAUAAAAGUCCCCUUUCUUUAUAUUUUCACGGUAUACUCGUGUUACAACACGACAUCCACCUCCUCUGAACCUGUGCAUCCUCCGGUAUGCACCAAUUUAUCCAAUUGCUGUUUGAUUUAGAAUAUAUCCUCUACGUCUUUGUCCAGUUUGUCUUCGUCACCUUCAUUAUCCAAAUCACUUUCAUCUUCUUGUUGCGGAAUCUCUAUACCUUCAUUAAGGUCUUCCAAAUUCAUCUCCGUGUGUCUUCGUUUAAAUAUUUUUAUUCGCUUCCCUGCAAUUGGUAUUUUUAAUUUUGUACCAUCUAACUCCCGUAACGAGUAAGUCGCAUUGUCAUGAACAGUUGUUACCAUAUAUGGUCCAAAUCAAUGUUUUGAAAAUUUCCGCAAAGUACUAUGUUGAUUAUCCAGACUAUUGUCAUAAAUAAGUACCCUGUCACCUUCCUCGAUUGCUUUUGGUCUCAAUCGAUGUUGCUUAUCGAAUCGCGCCUUGUUUUGUAACCUUGUUCUUUUUAACCUUCCCAAUGCUAUCUGGACAUCUUCCGUUUUUUGCUCCAAUUGUCAAAUCCUAAUAGCCAGAAAUUCUUCUCUUGACAAUCCAUCUUCCUAUGGUAGCAUAUUCCAAGUAAGUACCUUUUCUUCAAUCGACAUAAUUGGUUUUCGACCUGUCAUAAGUUCUACUGGCAUAUAUCCUGUCACCAAACUAUGUGUUGUUCGAUCAGCCUAUAAUGCAAAUGACAAAAGCCGUGGCCACUCUUUAACUUUCCCAUUACAAACUUUAACUAAUGCUUUCACAAUCGGUGGGUGACCGCGUUCGCUUUUUGCAUUCCCUUCUGGAUUAUAAGCAAUAGUCAGUGAUAGUUUAACUCCACAUCUUUCAAAGAACUUACGAGCUUCUUGUGCAUUUAAUUCUCCAUGAUCUGCAGUGAUUUUUCCUACGCAUCCGUAGCGGCAAAUGACAUCUUCAAGUAAAAACCUACAAAUCCCCUCUGUAGAUUUUGUCCUCAAUGCUCUUCCUUCUACUUGAUUUGAUAAAUCUUCAUGGGAUAAAACCAAAUAUCUCAUCUGUCUUAACCCAACUGACAUAAUAACCAAAUCAACAAUCCAUUUAAAAUGAAUAGCUAGGGGAUACGUAGGAUGAAGUCCAUCUUGAUGUCGGAUAUUAGAAUACGAUUGACAGAUUUCACAUGACUCUACAAAUGAGAGCACAUCUGGAUACAUAUUUUUCCACCAAUAUCGUUCCUUGAGUUUAGCAAAAGUAUCCCAGAUUCCUCUAUGCCUUGCCCAUAAACUAUCAUGAAACUCCUUUAAUAAUUUUAGUUUUUCUUCUAAUUGCCUAUCACUCGUCGUGGCAUCCCAAUUCCUUUCUUCGGUCUCUUCCAUAAGAAUCCAUCUCGAAGUAAAAAUCCAUAUGCUUUUUUUCUUAUUUGUUUGAAUUUUUCUGUAGACCAAUUCUCCUGCUUAGUCAAGGUAUUCAAGUAAUGACCAAUAUCCAAUAAUUUUCCUUCAUAAGAUUCUUCAAGAAAUAGCUUGUCUUCUCUGUUGAGAUUUGAUAUUGAAUAGAAUUUCAAUCCGACGUCAUCAAUGUCUUCAACCAUUUCGUCCUCCCUCUCGUAUCUUGCUCGAGAUAGCAUGUCUGCUACUGAAUUGUCCUUUCCAGUAAUAUGCUUAAAUUCCGGAUUUAGUGACUUAAUAUAAGCAAUCCAUCUCAACAUUGCAAUAUCUGGCGUUGAACAGUUAAUAAUCAUUCCAAGCAAUGGCAAGCAAUCUGUUUCAAUUACUACUACUACCCCAAUCAAAUAGUCCUUUUCAGCUUUCAUAGCCGAAACAACUCCCCAAAGUUCUCUUUUGACUUGCAAAUAUGCACGCUGACGAAUACUUAAAACUUUAGCCCCAAAUCGAACUGCAAAUCUAUUUCCAUUUGAAUCAUCUUGACCUACAGCCCAUCCAAUGGCAAUUGGACUAGCGUCCACAGUAAGAAUCACUGGUCUAUUGCACUUAUAAUCAACCUUCCUCAAUAUUGGAGGUGACAUCAAUAAUUUCUUCAAUCUUUGCAUUGCCUAAAUAUGCCUUUCUUUCCAUUUAAAUCGGUAACCCUUGUGUAACAGUUCAUAUAAUGGAUCCGCUAUGUGAGCAAAAUGAGGGAUCCAAAUUCGAUAAAAUACACAUGCACCCAAAAACUUGCGAACCUCUGUUAAAGAAUCACAAUCAUCUUUCAUCUUUCCAAUUGCAUCAACUUUAGUUGGAUCUGAUUUUCUUCCGUAAGAUCUACAUAAAUGUCCAACAAUCACAACCUCUCAUACUCCAAAUACGGACUUCAUACCUGAUAAUGUAAGAUGAACUUCUCCAAGCCGAGUUAAAAUCUUUUCACAGUCUUGUAUAUGAUCAACAACAUAUUUGCGACACCCCCUCGUAUCUAAAGUUUUAUCCUUGUCUCCUUCUCUGCACCCUUUUAUAGGAACAUCAUCCAGAAAAGAUAUAGUCUUUUCCCGAAUAAAAUCUCUCAAUACCUUAUUCAUCCCAUUCAUCAUAUGCGCAAUUGAGUUGGUCGCGCCUUGAGGAAGAGUGCACAUUCUAACCAAUCUAAGUGGUGUCCUCAUUGUUGUCAUAUCUCUACUUCCUUCGGUAAGUUGAAUUUGAUCAUAACCUGAAUACAAGUCACCCAUUGAAUAGAUCGCCCUUCCAGCAAAUGCCUCAGCAAAUUCAUCCACAAUACAUAGUCUGUAACACGCCUGUAACAGUACAACACUACUUAGCCAUAUGAGUGAUAAUUUCAAAUGGUGGAACUGUGGAUGGAUGACUAUUCAUAGGCUACUCAAGACCUACUCUUAUCAAAUACUGCUACCCACUUGCAGGUCCAAUUCCUGCAUUCCUGAUAGUUACUGCAUUCACCGGUUGCAUAUCUUGAAUAAACCGUAGUGACCCAUUCUUCUUAGGUACCGUAAACCAUCAACUAGAAUACGACGCAAAUGAAGGUUCCAAUAUUUUCAUCUUUAUCUUUUCUUUUAAUAGUUCCAUCAAUUUAGGUAAAUGUGCCCUCAGUACUGGAAUUGGUCUUAGAUUCGAAGGUAAACGAUCUACCUUAUUUAGCCAACAUCUUUUUGAAACAAGUAAUUUCCUCCGGCAAUAAAGAACCAUCAAAAUCAAUCUUCAAUUCUUCAAAAGUCUCUUUAGUAAACUGAUGUCCAAUACUCAUUGGAUCUCUUAAACUUGCUUCUUUUGAUGCUUCUCUCAUUUGUUCUUUAGAAUCUUCUGAUAAUGGUCCGACAAUAGGCUUUACCUUCUUAUCUGCCAUUUUAUAUCUCGUCUCUACAGUGACUUCUCGUGCUUGAAAAGAUUCAAGUAUGGUAUAAACCUCUCUUGAAUGAAUCUCAACAAUCUUAUCAUUAUCCCCUAACCCAAUAGAUGUAAUCAAUUCCAAUGAAUCUUCCAGUCCAUUUUCUUCAUAAACACCUAAAAUCCUUUCAUCAUCUUACAAUGUACCUAACUUGCGUAAUUGUCCUUCAAUAUCAUAUAAUCUUUUUCUUUCUUUUCUUUUAAAUUCAUUAACUUUCUUAUACAUAAUAUUUCCAUUCUCCAAUAUACCAAUAAAACUCGCAUCAAAGGCACCUUCAUCUCGCGAGAGUAUCUCCUCUUUUGUACCUCCAUAAUCACGCUUUACAAUGGUACCUCCCCAAAAUCCUUAAAUCCUUCAACAAUCUUUGGCAAUGGUUUCUCCCUCAACCUAUCUCGAUUCCGUUCAUGGUUAGGAGGUACUGUUAGAAAUUGUACAGAUUUCCUCCUAUCUUUGCUCCAUACCCUUGCAUAAGCAGAACCAUCGUCAUGUACUUUUGUUUCCAUCUGUGUUGCCGUAAUAUAAGAUUGUCCUAAAAUCAACGGAUAAGACGUUGUAUCUUGAACAAAGAAAUGUUGCUCUGUUGCAACAUCCCUAAUCCAAAUUUUGACAUCUGGACAAGCUCCAUAUAAUUCGCGCCGUGUAUUAUUAGCUACUCGAAUUACCCAUCCAUGUUCCAUAUCAAUUGGCCAUUUUUGCUUCUUAUAAAGAUCUUUAGACAUGAAAUUUAUUUCAGAACCAUGCUUGACUAAAGAAACAAUUAGUUCAUCUAUAUCUCCUACUUUCACCAAUACCUCAGUAGUUACCCUUGCUCAAUGCUUUCGAGUAUAAUGGCUCAAAGUUUCCAUUUCCUUGUCACUAUAAUCUUCGAAACGUACUCGUUGAUUAUACCCAUUUUUUUUAUUUGUUGGUUGCUUGUAACUGAUAUCAACCUCUUCUUCAUCUCUAUAUAUUCUUGCAUCAAUAGCAUGACUCAUUCUAGUUUCGUCCAUUAAUUGCCUCUUUCGCUUAAUGCUGUCAAUGAUAACAUCAUGAAACUCCUUCUUUGCAAUUUUCAAGACUUCUUUCAAUGUGAAUUCCACCUUAGCGUUUAAUAUACGUUCUUCCAACACCCCUUUCAAAUUUGUUGCCGCUUCAAUGUCAGAAAGUAGCUUAUAAGCAAUUGAUUUGCCCUUAUCUUUUGUCUCCUUUGUUUUUUCUUCCAAUGAUGCUGAGAUAUCCUUUACAGGCAAUUCUUGUGAAGCUGCCUCCCGAGCCUUGUCUCCUCGAGUUUGCCUCUUAGAAGAAUUUCCUUCUCUCGUAUCAUCAAAAUUUCCUCGUCUCUUUUCUUCCAUCAAAGCUUUAUGUUGGCUCUUAGCAAUAUAUGCAUGAAUUGAAAGAGACUCAACAGGAUCCUCCUAACCUGUUCUACCUCGUAUUGUAGCUGCAGUUCUCAAUAACGCUUCUCGAGGUAAUUUCCCUUCUUGCAUUGUAGAAAUGGCAGAAGCCCAAAACUCACUAGUUUUCGUACUUCUACCAAUUUCAUCAUCUAUUCUAGCACCAUAACUUGCACUUUCUCGUGCUGCUGUUUUAUGCUCCUUUAGGUAAUCUUGAACCAAUGCUCUCAUUCUUCCCUUGCCAAAAUUGGUUUGAAAAAGAUCCUCUCUAUUUUUCAAUGCUAUCUUCUCAUCUUUCUAGCAAAUAAUUCCCUACCAUAUCAUAUUAUUAAAUUCAUUGCAAUCUUUUCUAGUGUGUGAAGCAUCAUCACACCAAAUGCAUCUUUGUACAUAUCCUUGUUUUGAAACAUUCUUCGAAUUAUUUAUAGAAGUAUUCUCUUCAAGUCUUGCCAAUUUGAUUUGAAGAUCUCGCAUUCCUCGUAUAAUUUCUUCCAUCCCCAUAUCUGCUUUCUUCGAUAAGGAUGUCGAAGGUUGAACUGUAGGCAUUGUUGGUGGUAUUGUACAUAUUGGAGCUUUGGGUGCUUGUACUGUUUUCGGAAUAUUGCUCCUAUCCUUCCUCCUUUCUCUUUUUGUAAGCAACCCCACCGCAUCUUCAACGUUCUUCCACUUUGUUGUCAAUCCUUCAUCUUCUUCUUUGUCUUCAAGAAAGAGUUCUAAUUUCCCUUGCAAUUCUCCAUCAACAGCUUGAAGAAAUAGAUCAACUUUGUUUGGCUCCAAUGUCAAUUUUUCUACCUUCGACAAUUGAGAGUACUGCCUUUCAAAUUCCCUUAGUAGCUGUGUUGCUUGCAAAUUCUUAUUGGGCCGUUCAAUCCAUUCCAGAAACAGCUUCUUAGUAAUGCGAUCAGCAUCUUCCAAGAAAUAUUCGUCUUUCAAUGCAUGUGAAAAAGCCCCCCAUGAAUUCCCAUAACGAUUCGUAAUCGAUGUAAUAUGGUCUGUUAUCUCCGGUAUCAUGGCAAGUCCAAAUAGUUCAACCAUUUUCUUCUCAGAGACCCGAUUUAAUUCCAUUUCACGAACAUAACAUCUUAAAUACCUUGAAAUAUUCCUCCCAUCAAAUUGAUCAAUUUUAUUGACCACUGCUUGCAAUGCUUUGGUUGCCAAAGUUUCCUUUCGAUCAUUGCUUUGCUGUUGCUGCAUUGAUAAUGAGAAGGCUUGAAACAUACUAGCAAUAGACGGAUCCAUGUGCAUACCUUAUCCUUUAAAAGAAUCCCCACCAGAAACUCCUCCCAAAAAUCCUUCAAAAUUUUUAUUUUCGUUUUUCAUAAAAUAAAGAUAAAAUCAACCGAAAUCCAAUACCUUCCACCUCAAGCUUUCACGUCGGGUUCACCACUUUUGUCGUAUUACGUGCUUUUCUGCUCGAGAAUGUGCCAGGCGUCUAGCUGUAGAAGGUAGUAUGGAGAUUCGCCAGUAGUCAAGCAGUCUAUCAGUUUUUGACUGUUGGAAUAUAAACGACUGCAAGAAUGCACCGUAAAUCUAUACGGAUGCCCUUCGAUUGCUCGCCAAAGUCCUUUUUGUCCCGGUCGGUAGGUCUGUAGACGUUACAGAGAACCCCGAACAACCCAAACUGCUAAUCUUCGAUACCGCUUUAUACUCACGAUCUUGUUUCCACUGACUGUCUCGUUAGAUUAAUCCAAUAAAUUUUAUUUACUCUGCAUACUCAAUCCUAUAGACACCCUUUUAAUUCUUCAUCGCAGACGUAAAUCAAUUUCAUAAAAAAGUCAAGAGUAAUCAAAUCCACUUCAUUAAAAAUCCCGAUUCACCAUUAUAACACUGACUUCAGCAACGAUUGCCUCAGUCUUCCCAAACCCUAUGAAGAAAAAAAACCCAAUUCUCUAUCUUUUUUUUCCGCCGGAAGCAUGAAGCUAGCUCUCUGAUCCUUCAAAAAAACUCCCAAAAAAAACUUCACUCUUCCCUCUCAUUUCUUAACCUUAAUUCUGAAUUUCUUCAAUCCUCCGUCUUGGAUCCGGAAUUGGCUCCCACUGUGAGAGCUUGGAUCUGAAAUUGGCUCUUGCCAUCAAGGCUUAGAUCCAAAAUUGGCUCUCGCCGUCAGAGCUUUCUCUUUCGUUUUUACCUUUAAGAGAUCCAUUUACCGAAAACAACGUUCCCUGAAAUGGCACAGAGAAUAGGACAGCCUGAAACAAAAUCGAAACCCCGUAAUCGGGACCACAUUGAGUCGCCGAACCAAUUCAGUCUCAUAUUGGCUAAGAGUCCAGUAGUAAGACCCGAAUGUCCCCGUAAUUGGAUUAAAUUGGUCCUUCGCGUCUGAUUGGCUGAGGCCCAUAGUAAGAUCUGGAUUUUCCCAUAAUUGGACUGCAUUGGGUUUUUUGGCCAAUUCAUGUCUCAUAUUGGGUAAGAAGACCCAGAUUAAAUUCUUGAAAUUGGAUCCAAUUGGCUCUUCGAACCAGGCUCACCCGUCGUGCGAAUUAGUCCUUUCUCUUCCUGCUGACUCUCGUUAUUGGAAUCGAACGGAGCAUUUUAGUAUGCCCCGGCUGACUGUAACGGGGUGAUUGAACCUGGCCACUCAGUAUUUACAUUGGAGUUGGUCGUUGCUCCCAAUAUUCGAGGUAACUGAACAUUAAUAAAAGUUCCCUUUCUUUAUAUUUUCAUGGUAUACUUGUGUUACAACACAACAACGUUUGGAUGGAAUGGAAAUCAAUCUAAUCGACAAAAUUGAGCAUUCAAUAGCUUUUAAAGUUCCAAUUUUAAUCAAGGAUCUGCAUCAAACUCCCAGAACUAUGGGAAGGAGCAGCAGAGGUAUCAGUAAUAUGCUCCACCGGUGUCAUCAAACCAAGUACCCUCUGUUCCAAUGGGACAACCAGGAUCAUUUUCUAACCCUACAUGGAACAAGCCUAGUAGGUAUAUACCACUGGAGACACCCAAUAUGCCUGAUGGGGAUGCAAGAAGACCUUUUUGUUGUUUUUGUUGUAGACAAAUUAGCCAUUAUGCCAAUGAAUGUUCCAAUCCCAGAGCCAAUGACGAUUAUGUGCCAGUUUGUGGAAAUUGCAAGCAAUCGCGACAUACUUAUCAGUAAUGUAAUGCUCCAUUCAAUUUCAAUAAUUGAGAACAAUAGAUCCAAAAUCAAGUUAAAAUAGAAGAGAUACAUCAAGGGCCUAAAGAUUCUCUGGUAAAUUGGAUGGAAUGUGUCCAAGCCGUUUUUAUCAGGAGUCAGCAAAAAGAGAAAGGAUAAAUUCAACAUUUGGGUGAUCCUGAAGCGAAGGGCUAAUUUGACCGAAUUAUGGGGAUAUCCAAUCCAGGUCCUGUUACGGGCCUCUUACCUAGUAUGUGACCUGACUCGAUUGGGCUACCUAAUGAAUUACCGAUUACGGAGGCUUCGGUUCUGUUUCAAGCUGUUCCGUUCUCGAUGCCGUUUUGAAAAACAUCCUGUUCAUUGAAAGAUUCUCUAGGAGGCUUGAAUUCCAAGGAAGCUCCGUCUGUUGUUUCAAUUCCGAGUCCAAGGCAGAAGAAUAUCUUACCUCAAGGAGUUAAACUUCAACCAAUGUAAAGAAAGAGGGCAUUAGGCAUUACCGUAAAUAUGGAAUCCUAUGACAUAUUGAAGGAUCUGGAUGCUAUUUGGCCUUCUAUUUCUAUAAAGCAACUUCUAGCGGUCGCACCAGAGUGCCAUUCUACAUUGAAUUCAUCGUUAAUACGGCAUAAACAACGUAAUAAGGAAGUUUGUGAAGUCAGUUUGAACCUUGACCCAAAUGCACCAACCAUCGAUGUUUUGAUUGACGGUGUUAUGAUCUCGGGUGUUCAGGUGGAUGGUGGUUCCAAUGUCAAUUUAAUGAACGCUGAUGCAAUGGAUGCUUUAGAUUUGGAACACUUAGUACCCACAAUAUUGGUAUUACGGAUGGUAGAUCAUAGUCGAGUUAAACCAAUGGAUAUUUUAUGGAAUGUUCAAACUAUAAUUGCAGAUAUUACAUAUGCAAUUGACUAUUUCAUCUUUUGGCUACAACGAUCGACUUUAUUCUAUCUAAUUUUAUUGGGACGACUUUGGCUUUAUCAAGCGAAGGCCAAGAAUGAUUGAGAUUGGGGUACUUUGACAAUUGGCAAGGGUGGUGACAAAAUGGUAUUACAAAUGUACUCAGUACGCUAUCACAGGGAGUCUCAAUUGCCAGCAUUUGAAUUGAUGUCGGAUAAUGAGCUUAGCUCCGAUGAUGAUGCAGUCAUACCAAUUACGGAGGCAUCCGUGGGGCAGUGCAACACCUUGGAGUGAUGUACUAAUGUAGAGGUCUGGGGGAGUACUUGAUAUACCCGAUAGAUUCAAAAAACUCUGAUUAUAUUAGUAUUGAUUGGAUGACCAAAUAUGAUAUGCACCAUGUUAGUGCCUUGGACACAGGAUUUAAUACUUCACACAUGUCAGACUCACCAACUGAUUUUUAACCAAUACGGGGGUUGAAACAAAACAUCACAGUUGCAUCUUUAUGUCAAAUUAUUAACUUGGCGACCACAGUAGAGCCACGGACAAUUAAGGACUAUGAAGGUAUUAAGGACCAAGAGUUGACCUGUUGGACAGAAUUUUUCUUACAUCAUAAGUCUACUUUUGCUUGGACUUAUGUUGAUUUAAAGGGUAUCCCCGCCGAAGUUUGUGAGUAUCGUAUCAUUUUAGAGGAGAAUGCUAAACAAGUACGGCAGAGGCAAUAUCGCCUUAAUCCUUAAUAUUCCUUCAUGGUGAAGGAGGAAUUGGAUAAGCUUCUUGUAUUUGGUUUCAUUUACCCGGUGUCAAAUAGCGAGUGGAUUUCUCCAAUUGUCAUGGUGCUGAAAAAGAAUGGAAAAAUCUACAUUUGUGAGGAUUUCCGAAAACUUAAUGCGGCCACCAAGAAGGAUUACUUUUUGUUGCCUUUCACAGAUAGUAUAUUGGACGUUGUAGCCGGUCACAAAUGUUAUUCAUUCCUUGAUGGAUUUUUUGGAUAUAAUCAAGUUCAAAUUGCAAUGGAAGACCAGCUUAAGACGACCUUUACUAUGGAUUGAGGCACAUUUGCUUAUCGCAUGAUAUCUUUUGGGUUAUAUAAUGCUCUAGCCACAUUUCAGAGAGUAAUGACUCAGGCCUUCCAAGACUAUCUUUGGCUAUUUAUAGAGAUCUUUUUAGAUGACUUUUGUGCAUUCACUACAAAACAAGAUCAUCUUAAUUGUUUGGGCAAAUGUUUGGCUCGGUGCGUUAAGUUUGGAAUAUCAUUGAACUCAAAAAAGUGUCAAUUUGGUAUUCCGUCCAGUAAAUUAUUGGGACAUAUUGUCUCCAACCAUGGUAUUGCUACGGAUCUUGACAAAGUGCAGCAUAUAAUGAACUUGCCCCACCCAGAGACAGUCUUCGGUGUUCGUGGAUUUGUGGGCCAUGUCAGUUAUUAUUGAAGAUUCAUUCAUUCGUUUGCAGUUAUUUAUCAACUUUUAAUAAACUUACUGAAGAAACCUCCAUCAGAUGGGACUAGUCACAUUUGGACCAUGGAGUGUACUGUGGCCUUUCAAGCAUUGAAGUCAAAAUUAGUCUCUACACCAAUAUUGAUAGCUCCUCGUUGGACAGAGCUCUUUCAUGUAUACAUUGAUGCAUCCAAUGUAGCUAUUGGAUCGAUGUUAAGUCAGAAGAAUGACAAGAGUUUAGAUCAUCCUAUCUAUCAUGUCAAUUGGCAAUUGGUAGCUGCCGAAUGCAAUUACACUACUACUGAAGGAGAAGCAUUGGAUAUGAUAUACUCGGUUCAGAAAUUUCGGCACUAUUUGCUUGGGUAUCCAUUUAUUUUUUAUGUGGAUCAUGAUGCCCUCAAAUAUAUGAUUAAUAAGCUUCAAUUGAGUGGGUGCAUUGCCCGAUGGGUCUUACUCUUACAAGAGUUUAAUUUUACUAUUGUCGUACGACCUGAGAAGAAACAUGCCAAUGCUGAUCAUUUAACCCAGUUGUCUAAUGUUCUCAGCAAUGAGCUUGUCCCAGAUGCUCUUUUUGACAUCGAAUUAUUUGUAGUGGAUGUGAUUUCUCCCGAGUAUAGUGAAAUCAUUCAGUUUUUGACCUUCCACAGCUUUUUCUCAACUUUCAUUAAGAAGCUUAAGAAGCGACUCAUUCUAAAGAGUGCCCCGUAUACAAUGAUUCGCGAUGCUUUGUAUAAACAAGGCAAAGAUGGCAUUUUAUGUUGCUGUAUCUUUCCAAGUGAAGUACAAUUGAUCCUUGAAGGUUGCCAUUUGGAUACUUGUGGUGGUCAUUUUGCAGGAGAUAGUACUGCUCGCAAGGCUUUAAUGGCCAGAUAUUGGUGGCCCACAAUGUUUUUUGAUGUGCACCAAUUUGUUCGUCAUUGUGAUCCCUGUCAAUGAAUUGGUCAACCCAUGGACACUUUUACCAUGCCGUUAGUUCCAAUCUUGGCACAGGCAUUGUUUGAAAAAUGGAAUAUUGAUUUUGUCGGUCCCAUCGUACCAGAGUCAAAACUUGGCCAGAAAUGAUAUAUUUUAGUUGCCACGGGCUAUUUAACAAAAUGGACAGAGGCUAUUGCUACCCACCAUGAUAAUGUGAGUACGGUGGCUACUUUUCUGUAUGAGAAUAUUAUAACUCGAUUUGGAUGUCCGAAAGAAUUGGUUAGCGAUUGCGACACCCAUUUUUUAAAUGCUACCAUAGCUGCCUUGACGAAUACAUAUGAGAUUAAGUAUUAGAAAAUCACUCCAUAUCAUCCUCGUGCUAAUGGGUAAAUGGAAAAGACCAACAAAAUUUUGUGUAAGGUCUUGACUAAGACAAUUUUGAAGGCGGGUACCGAUUGGGAGAUCAAACUCUUUACGGCUUUGUGGGCAUAUCACACUGCAUAUAAAGUAACUACCAACUCUAUUCUAUUUCAACUAGUUUACUAUCAAGAAGCAAUUUUAUCCAUCGAGUUAGAAGUUCAAAGUUUACGGAUUGUCUUGGAUGAACGACUCAGUGACGAAGAGUCCUUAUAUUCUCGGUUGGAAAAAUUAGAAGAAUUGGAUGAAAUAUGGGCUACAACUCUUUUUCAUAUCGAAGCAACCCAAAAAUGGAGGAAGAGUUACUAUAAUAGUAAACUAUGGCAAAGAUUUUUAUGUCCAAUGAUUUGGUAUUAUUGUAUGAUAGCCAAUUUAAUCAUUUUUUGAGAAAAUUUCAAGUUUCUUGGCAUGGACCGUAUUAGGUAAUUGAAGAUUUUUUUAAUGGAUCUAUUUAAUUGGACGAUUUCAUGGGCCAUCGCUUCACUACCCUCAUUAACAGGAAUCGAUUAUGGUUAUAUAAUACAUAAAACUCGGGACGGAUUUUCAUUUUUUAGAGGGAUGACUUCGAAUGGACACAAGGUAGACCUAAGUAUGGUAUAAGUGCAUUAGGAUGUAGAGGCGGCCGAAAAGAUAGUUAGUAAUUAUUAAUGUGUCAGAUUGGACGGAGGUGAGAAACGGACAGUAUGGAUAACAUGUUGUCAUGAUCACCGAUAGUAAGAGAAUAGGAGUGGGACAUCAGUAAGAGGUCAUUUUGUGUUGUCGUUCUGGGUUAUUUUUUAAGAUUGCUAUUUCUUAUAUUUCUUACAUUUUUGAGCGUAGUAGUUCUAAUUAAG